rnacentral:rRNA from 1 species
CCGGCGAUGUCCGAAUGGGGAAACCCAGUGCAAUUCGUUGCACUAUCGUUAACUGAAUACAUAGGUUAACGAGGCGAACCGGGGGAACUGAAACAUCUAAGUACCCCGAGGAAAAGAAAUCAACCGAGAUUCCCCCAGUAGCGGCGAGCGAACGGGGAGCAGCCCAGAGUCUGAAUCAGCUUGUGUGUUAGUGGAACGGUCUGGAAAGUCCGACGGUACAGGGUGAUAGUCCCGUACACCAAAAUGCACAGGUUGUGAACUCGAAGAGUAGGGCGGGACACGUGGUAUCCUGUCUGAAUAUGGGGGGACCAUCCUCCAAGGCUAAAUACUCCUGACUGACCGAUAGUGAACCAGUACCGUGAGGGAAAGGCGAAAAGAACCCCGGCGAGGGGAGUGAAAAAGAACCUGAAACCGUGUACGUACAAGCAGUGGGAGCACCUUCGGGUGUGACUGCGUACCUUUUGUAUAAUGGGUCAGCGACUUAUAUUCUGUAGCAAGGUUAACCGUAUAGGGGAGCCGCAGGGAAACCGAGUCUUAACUGGGCGUUAAGUUGCAGGGUAUAGACCCGAAACCCGGUGAUCUAGCCAUGGGCAGGUUGAAGGUUGGGUAACACUAACUGGAGGACCGAACCGACUAAUGUUGAAAAAUUAGCGGAUGACUUGUGGCUGGGGGUGAAAGGCCAAUCAAACCGGGAGAUAGCUGGUUCUCCCCGAAAGCUAUUUAGGUAGCGCCUCGUGAACUCAUCUUCGGGGGUAGAGCACUGUUUCGGCUAGGGGGUCAUCCCGACUUACCAACCCGAUGCAAACUACGAAUACCGAAGAAUGUUAUCACGGGAGACACACGGCGGGUGCUAACGUCCGUCGUGAAGAGGGAAACAACCCAGACCGCCAGCUAAGGUCCCAAAGUCAUGGUUAAGUGGGAAACGAUGUGGGAAGGCACAGACAGCCAGGAUGUUGGCUUAGAAGCAGCCAUCAUUUAAAGAAAGCGUAAUAGCUCACUGGUCGAGUCGGCCUGCGCGGAAGAUGUAACGGGGCUAAACCAUGCACCGAAGCUGCGGCAGCGAC